rnacentral:rRNA from 1 species
GACGAACGCUGGCGGCGUGCUUAACACAUGCAAGUCGAACGGUAAGGCCCUGUUUUUGUUGGGUGCUCGAGUGGCGAACGGGUGAGUCACAAGUGAGUAACCUACCACUGACUUUGGGAUAACUUCAGGUAACUGUGGCUCAUACCGUGUAGGACCUCCUGCUGCAUGGUGGGGGUUGGAAAGUUUCGGCGGUUGGGGAUGGACUCGCGGCUUAUCAGCUUGUUGGUGGGGUAGUGGCCUACCAAGGCUUUGAUGGGUAGCCGGCCUGAGAGGGUGACCGGCCACAUUGGGACUGAGAUACGGCCCAGACUCCUACGGGAGGCAGCAGUGGGGAAUAUUGCACAAUGGGCGGAAGCCUGAUGCAGCAACGCCGCGUGCGGGAUGACGGCCUUCGGGUUGUAAACCGCUUUAGCCGGGAACAAAGCGUUUGUGACGGUAGUUGGAAAAGAAGCACCGGCUAACUACGUG